UUUCCAUAUCAGCCAUUGGAAUUUCUUGGAACUGCUUCACAUAGAUUCCUCGUUCCUUUUUUGUUUUGGUACUUGCUUUCCUGGUAAACCAGCAUUCUUCCGUUGCGUCAAAAUUUUGUUAUCAUCUUCUCAAAAUUAGUUUCAGAAUAAAAUGAAUUAAGCAUGUUGUACUUCCACUCCCCUUACCCCUCAAAUAAAUUAAUAAAUAAAGAACUUAUAGUUCAUGAGAUCAUCAACCAAAAGAGCUUUUUUCUAGUAAUAUGAAAUAAAUCAGACAUCAAGGUGCUUCUCAACUUCUUUAAUUGAAAAAGAGUGAUUCCUUCAGACAAUGAAACUAUAGAUUACAGGAAUCUUGUGAAUACCAUGCAACAAUUACUGGAAUUAUGCAGUCAAGCACAAAAACAGAUUUAGGGAUUAUUUCAUCUCAAUUCUUAAUUAUGAAAAUUUGGAUUUUUUGUAAAUGUUUCUAUUUAGUAGUGUUACGUAAUUCAUACUUAGGAUCUUCCUGUUUAGGAAAUAUAGGGUUUUCUUAUUUAAAAUUUUGUUUCCUGUAUAGUGUUAGCUAGAAUUUUUCUAGUUUGAGAUUACUAAUCCACAUAUGACAAUAAUUAGUUAUUCAUGAGUCUCUAAAAGUAGCUAGUUAUUUUGUCAGAUUUAUGAUAAUGAAACGUUUUGAGGAUUUUGAUUUAGUUUGGAAGGCCUACGAGCCUAGUUUAUCUCCCCAAUUAUAUCUCAUCUCCUCCAUUCCCUCUGUUGUGACAGUACUUCGGGUAGGUUCACAGCUUCAUGAUAGCCAGCAAUUUCUCUUCUAUUCUAAAUUUAAUCAGCUCUAAUUCAAACUCAUAGGCCAUACCCUAAUCUCCCUUCUUGCUUAAAUCUUUACCCUCCAACUCAUCAAUUGUUUGAUAUUUUUUUUCCUAUAAAACUAGCAGGCAGUUUUCCAUCUAAAUCUGUCCUACAAAAUAUGCUCAAUCUUCUACCAAAAAUAUGUAUGAAAUCACGCAAUACAUUUUUCACUAUAACACUACUCACAAAAUAAUAAUUCAAAAGCAAAUGAAAAUAAGCAGUACCUGUAUACUACUAUUA
rnacentral:misc_RNA from 1 species